rnacentral:rRNA from 1 species
UACGGAGGAUGCAAGCGUUGUCCGGAAUUAUUGGGCGUAAAGAGCUCGUAGGCGGUUUGUCGCGUCUGCUGUGAAAUCUGGGGGCUCAACCCCCAGCCUGCAGUGGGUACGGGCAGACUAGAGUGCGGUAGGGGAGAUUGGAAUUCCUGGUGUAGCGGUGGAAUGCGCAGAUAUCAGGAGGAACACCGAUGGCGAAGGCAGAUCUCUGGGCCGUAACUGACGCUGAGGAGCGAAAGCAUGGGGAGCGAACAGG